rnacentral:rRNA from 1 species
CCNGCCAUGCCGCGUGUAGGAAGACUGCCCUAUGGGUUGUAAACUACUUUUAUAUGGGAAGAAUAAGGUCUACGUGUAGACUGAUGACGGUACCAUAAGAAUAAGCACCGGCUAACUCCGUGCCAGCAGCCGCGGUAAUACGGAGGGUGCAAGCGUUAUCCGGAAUCAUUGGGUUUAAAGGGUCCGUAGGCGGGCAUAUAAGUCAGUGGUGAAAGUCUGUGGCUCAACCAUAGAAUUGCCAUUGAUACUGUAUGUCUUGAAUUAUUGUGAAGUGGUUAGAAUAUGUAGUGUAGCGGUGAAAUGCUUAGAGAUUACAUAGAAUACCGAUUGCGAAGGCAGAUCACUAACAAUAUAUUGACGCUGAUGGACGAAAGCGUAGGUAGCGAACAGGAUUAGANA